rnacentral:rRNA from 1 species
UACGUAGGGUGCGAGCGUUAAUCGGAAUUACUGGGCGUAAAGGGCGCGUAGGCGGCAAUUCAAGUCAUCUGUGAAAUCUCCGGGCUUAACCCGGAACGGUCAGGUGAUACUGUUUUGCUAGAGUGCGGAAGGGGCAAUCGGAAUUCUUGGUGUAGCGGUGAAAUGCGUAGAUAUCAAGAGGAACACCUGAGGUGAAGACGGGUUGCUGGGCCGACACUGACGCUGACAGCGCGAAAGCCAGGGGAGCAAACGGG